AGAGUUUGAUUAUGGCUCAGGAUGAACGCUGGCGGCGUGCCUAACACAUGCAAGUCGAACGAAGCUUCCGAUCGGAUCCCUUCGAGGUGAAGAGAGGAAUGACUGAGUGGCGGACGGGUGAGUAACGCGUGGGAAACCUGCCCCAUACAGGGGGACAACGGUUAGAAAUGACCGCUAAUACCGCAUAAGCGCACAGUACCGCAUGGUACAGUGUGAAAAAACUCCGGUGGUAUGGGAUGGUCCCGCGUCUGAUUAGCUAGUUGGUGAGGUAACGGCCCACCAAGGCGACGAUCAGUAGCCGACCUGAGAGGGUGACCGGCCACAUUGGGACUGAGACACGGCCCAGACUCCUACGGGAGGCAGCAGUGGGGAAUAUUGCACAAUGGGGGAAACCCUGAUGCAGCCGACGCCGCGUGAGCGAUGAAGUAUUUCGGUAUGUAAAGCUCUAUCAGCAGGGAAGAAAAAUGACGGUACCUGACUAAGAAGCUCCGGCUAAAUACGUGCCAGCCGCAGC
rnacentral:rRNA from 1 species